GAUGCAUUUUUACACAGGCGUCUUCAUUUGGGAUCUAAAAUCUAUUGCCUCAAUUUAAAUUUAUCCAAAAUUAAGUUCUAAUGGUAUUUUGAUGUCCAAAUGUCGUAAGAUAUAGAAGAUUUAUUUGUUUAUUUAUUUAUUUUUUUUACCAAAUCUCUGGAUUAGACAAAAUAACGCCUUUGUAAAAGAGUAAUUUUGUCUAGAAUAGUUUAGUCUUUGAUAUAUGCUGUUCAAGCUAAACAAUUUUCAAUAAUAAAGAAAAUCAUAUUGGUCGUCUAACUCCUCAAUUAAUUAUUUUUCUACAGGGAAUUUCUCCAAAUAUACGAUGAUAAAAUGUGGUCAAUGAGUAUCCAUUUGAAACAUACCAGAAGCCACAAAGCGCAACACAAUCAGUGCCUGCAUCAAAUAAAAAAAAAAGGCUAAUGUCAAACUACAUUGAUUUUGUAAAAACACGGGUCUGUUAAAACAGAAAGAAAGGCUUUUUAUCGUUUCAGUGGCAUGAAAGAUGGAUACAAUUACCAAAAAUAAUGAGCAUAAUUCAGGCUACAACAAUGAACUUGAACUGUGUAUAAAGCAGCUAUCAUCUCAUUUUCAUAACUAACAAUAUCCAUCAUUAUCAGGGUUUGAAUUCUUUUAAGAGCUCAACUAAAAUUUGAAAUUCAAC
rnacentral:sRNA from 1 species